CCUACGGGCGGCUGCAGUGAGGAAUAUUGGUCAAUGGCCGGAAGGCUGAACCAGCCAUGCCGCGUGAAGGUCAGUGCCCUAUGGGCGUUAAACUUCUUUUGUGCGGGAGCAAUAAUGGUCACGUGUGGCCAGACGAGAGUACCGUACGAAUAAGCAUCGGCUAACUUCGUGCCAGCAGCCGCGGCAAUACGGGGGAUGCAAGCGUUAUCCGGAUUUAUUGGGGUUAAAGGGUGCGUAGGCUGGGAGGUAAGUCAGCGGUGAAAUGCCCCCGCUCAACGGGGUGAAGUGCCAUUGAUACUGGCUUGCUGGAAGGCGGAUGCCGUGGGAGGAAUGUGUGGUGUAGCGGUGAAAUGCAUAGAUAUCACACAGAACACCGAUUGCGAAGGCAUCUCACGAAUCCGCGAUUGACGCUGAUGCACGAAAGCGUGGGUAUCAAACAGGAUUAGAUACCCCAGUAGUC
rnacentral:rRNA from 1 species